CCAAUCUUUUUGGGUUGGGUUUAUCUGCUUGCAAUGUAAGUGAAUUUCCGGACAUCUUAAGAACCCUGCAUCAAUUGCAGUGGUUGAACCUUUCUAAAAACCGAAUUCAUGGUAGGAUUCCUAGUUGGAUGUGGGACUUAGGAAUAGCUACUUUGUAUUACCUAGAUCUUUCCAACAACUUCCUGACAAACAUUGAAUAUUUUCCACCGACAAAUAUGACCCAACUUAACUUUGAUUCGAACCUAACCCACAAGGUCUUGGAUAUGAGAAUGAACAACUUCAAUGGAAAAAUCCCUCGAAAGUUUGUAAAAAGUUGUAAUUUGACGAGUCUUAACCUUAAUGGAAAUCGGCUGGAAGGACCACUGCCACCAUCUUUGGUGAAUUGUCAUCACUUGGAAGUUUUAAAUGUUGGGAAUAAUCAAAUCAAUGAUAACUUCCCCAAUUGGUUAGAAAUUCUUCCAGAAUUGCAAGUUCUUAUCUUGCGUUCCAAUAGAUUUUGGGGUCCCAUUGGUGAGAACACAACAAUAGUUCCAUUCCCUAGCUUAAGAAUAAUUGAUUUGUCUCACAAUGAAUUCACCGGAGUUUUGCUAACAGGAUAUCUUGAUAAUUUUAAAGCCAUGAUGCAUGGGAAUAAUAUUAGUGUUGAAGUGGAUUAUAUGACACCUUUGAAUUCUUCUAAUUACUAUGAAUCAAUAAUUUUGACUAUCAAAGGCAUUGACAUCAAAAUGGAGAGAAUUCUAACCAUUUUUAUGACAAUUGAUUUGUCGAGUAAUAAAUUUCAAGGAGGAAUUCCAGAAGUGGUGGGAAAGCUCAAUUUACUCAAAGGUCUCAACAUUUCUCACAACAACCUGACAGGUGAUAUUCCAUCAUCGUUGAGAAAUUUGACCGAGGUCGAAUCUCUAGACUUGUCUUCAAACAUGCUUGUUGGGCAUAUUCCAACGCAAUUGACGAGCCUGAAAUAUCUUUCAGUGCUAAAUCUUUCGUACAACCAGUUUGAGGGACCUAUACCUCGAGGAUCCCAAUUCAAUACAUUUCCAAAUGAUUCAUAUGUUGGUAACUCAGGGUUGUGUGGAUUCCCAUUGUUAGAAAGCUGCAACAUUGAUGAGGCGCCAGAACCAGUAGGGUCAACAAGAUUUGAUGAAGAAGAAGAUGCCUCAAGUUGGUUUGAUUGGAAGUUUGCUAAGAUGGGUUAUGGAUCUGGAUUGGUGAUUGGCUUGUCCGUCGGAUACAUGGUAUUUGGGACUGGAAAGCCACGAUGGCUUGUAAGGAUGAUUGAAAAGUAUCAAUCUAACAAGGUCAGGAUAAGAGUGAGCAGUCUUGGUAUCGCAAGAAGAAAUUAGUAAGUGCAUCACUUUCUCAUAUUAGUUUAAGUAGGUUACAUGCUGAUAUUUUCCAUCAUCUCAACUAAUAUUUUAACCAUAUAUUAAUAAUCUGAUGUGUUUUUUGUUCAGGAAUUUUACACUCAUGGAAUGGAAUUAAGCUGUCGAAGUCAAAUAAUCACCCUCCAGGUACAGAAAUUAAUUUUCUCGCUUUUAUUUCCAAUUCCUAAUAAUAUACUAAGACUUAAUCUUUUGUUGGAAAGCUUGAUCAAAAUUCUGAGGGAAAAAAUCAUUUGAUUAAAUAAUGUUGCUGUAAGAAAUGGGGUUGGGGCAGCUUGAUUUGGUGUAUCUUGCCUUCGGUAGGCAUGUUUGAUUAUCUGCCAGCAUUUAGAAGAUUUUGAUAUUGGGAAUAAUCAAAUUAAUAAUAACUUUUCCCACUGGUUAGAUGUUCUUCCUAAAUUGCAAGUUCUUAUAUUAUGAUCUAACUGAAUUUGGGGUCCCAUUAGUGAUACCAAAAUAAGAGUUCUCUUCCUAAGUAUUGAAUAAUUGAUCUCUUUAACAAUGAACUCACUGAUGUUUUACCAACAUGGUUUCUGGAAAGCUUUAAAGCCAUGAUUCAUGGAGAUAAUAAUACUAUUGAUAAUGAAGUAGAAAAUAUAAUUAUCAAUUCAAAAAGUUUCUUCAACCACGAAUCAUUAAUUUUUGCUAUGAAAGGAAUUGACAUACAAAUGGAGAGGAUUCUAGCCAUUUUCAUGACAAUUGAUUUGUUAGCAAUCAGUUUCAAGGAGGAAUUAUAGGAGUGGUGGGAAUGUUUAAUCCACUCAAAUGUCUCAACAUUUCUCGUCAAUAACCUCACAGGCGAUAUUCCAUCAUCAUUUGGAAAUUUGACAAAGCUUGAUCUUUAAACCUCUCCCCAAACAAGCUUGUUAGGCUGAUUCCAAUGUAAUUGGUGAGUUCAAAUACUAUUUUGGUGCUAAAUCUUUCAUACAUUUUUAAAUGAUUCUUGUGCUAGGAACCUGGGGUAGUGUGGAUUCCCAUUGUCAAUUGCUUGCAACGAUGAUGAGGCACCAUAACUGACAGUACCAAAUUCGAGCUGGUUUGAUUGGAAGUUUACCAAGAUGGAUUACACAUCUAGGUUGGGGAUGACUUGUCCAUUGGAUAUAUGGUAUUUAUAAAUGGAAGGCCAAGAUGGUUUGUGUGGAUGAUCAAAAGAAGUAAUCUAAUAUGGUGAGAAGGGUGAUAAGACAAUGUAGAACAAGAAGAAGAAAUUAGUAAAAUUAGUAAGUUCACAUCUAGCUCAGAUGAGUAAUUAUCAAGUGUUCUUUUGGAUUUGUAAUCUUAUUAUUAUUCUUUCCCUAGAUAACAUCAUAGCAUAUUGAUAUUUUUCAAAAUUUUUAAGGAAAAGAAAUGAUUUGAAAUAGGUUGAGACUAUUUACACUCACCAUAAUACUCAAUAAACCCAUUUACUAAUCAAGUCAUCGUCUAAAUUUAAAAAUUUAUCUUUCAUUCAAUAAACCCACCUUUAUAACCAUUAUACCCUUAUUUAAAUCUCUUUCUCUUCUCUUUCUUUUUUGCGACUUCUAUAUCUCUACUUCCUCUUAGUAUUCUAUUUUUGUUUUAUAACCAAAUCAUCCACUGUUCUUGUCUUGUUGCAGUGGCUCUUUUUCAUUUUUUUUUCUCCUUGACUGAAACUCUCAAAGUUCUAUCAUGAAACACUAAAAAAAGGAUAAAGUAUAAAGAUCCUUGAUCUCAAUUAAAAGACAAUUUUUUUCACACCAAAUUGCAAGGAAAUAUAAUGUAUGUCAAAGUAAAUAAGUCUUUUAUUUAUAAGCUAUAGUUUAGUAAUGUUAAAGAGCAACAAUAAUCUUUUAUAUAUAUUGAAAAAUAAAUGCAGAUAUAAAAACUUUAGAGAGAGAAAUUAAAGACGAUUAAGUUGCAAUAAUAUUUAGCUAUAAUGAUUAUUAUAAUAAUUUAAUUUAAGGAUAUUUGUGUAAUAAAUUAUCUUUUUAGAAUUGGAUUAAUGAAUAGUUUGGUGAAUUCAAAUAACUUCGCUCUUUGAAAUAAUGUUAUAUUCUUGCAAGUCAUGAUGUAUCUCGUGUAGCUUGGGCCGUUUAUUUUGGGUUUGGGUGUAGAUCAAUGAGAGGUUGUGAAUUUUCCCUAUUGAAAUUAACAUAUACUACUUACCUUCUAUGAUUUUCAUAAUAAUCAAUAACUCUUAUGGCAACAUAAGUUUACAGUAUUAUCCUCAUUUUCUAAUACCUUUUUAUUCAUAUUUAUUAUAAAUUAAAUAAAUUAUAUAAAUGAAAAUUAAAAUAAAAAAUUUAAGUAUUGAAAAUAAGCAAUAUAUAUUUUGAUGCGAAUAAAAAAUUAAUAAUAAGAUUUUUUUUGUACUUUUUAUUUUUUUAAACUCUACCCAUUUAGAAUUUUUAGAGAUAUCUCCGAACUCCCCCAAAUAAGAAUUUUUGGGUAUAAAGGUGGGUUCGGGGAUCAUAAUCCCUGACCUCAAUUUGCCCAUUAUCAUCCCCGCCUAGUAUGAAACAGGACAUGAUUUGUUUCAAAUAAUUCAGCCCUAUACAGUGCCCAUAAACAAAUGCACCUUUGUGCUUAGAAAUACAUACAGAAUGCCAAGAUAAUUAAAUGUUCCUAACCGUCUUUAGGAAAAAAAGAAAAUGUAAUGACUUCGGUAACGGAAAUAAUACAGACAAUGCUAAUUUGAGCACAGCUUCUUAUAUACGUCUGCGUUUGAACUGGUUUGUGGAAAAACUGUGAAAAGGGAGUGGUUCUACAUUCACCACGAUGCCUUCCUAGGACUCACCAUUCCCCGCCGAACACGUGGCCUAGAUUGCCCUCUUCAUUAGUUGCAUGAAAGGAUCCUACUUUGAACUCUUAACUUUCUUAUCCUGCCCAUGUGGCCACGAGAUUCACAUAAUUAAUUAGAUUAUGAAUUUUACAAAUUAGCGACAAAGACACUCACCAAACCGGCCAGAUUCCAUAUAGAGUUCCAAGCUCCGUAACAAGAUCACUUCGUGCUUUAAAAUUAUUACAUAAUUAAUUGGAUUCAAUCCUUUCCAUUCACUGGAUAAAUGGGUUACUUAACACAGCCUUGUCCAGUUUUGAUCUGCCUCCAGUUAUUGCUCUUGUAUUUUCAGUGUUGUUCUGCGAAGCUUUGCUCUCAUGAUCAAAGCUCUGCGUUACUCCAAUUUAAGCAACUCUUUUCUUUUGAACAACAUUCUUCGUAUGAUUGUGAUGAAGUAUAUCAACAAUCUUGUCCAAAGAUGAUGUCUUGGAAAGAGGAUGCUGAUUGCUGCUCAUGGGAUGGAGUAACAUGUGAUACGGUGGCUGGUCACGUGAUUGGCCUCGACCUUAGCUGUAGUUGGCUUCACGGCAAUAUCCCUUCCAAUAGUAGCCUUUUCUUUCUUCCUCACAUACGAAAGCUCAACUUGGCUUUCAAUGAUUUUAAUUACUCCGAGAUUUCUUCUGGUUUUAGUCAACUUCGGAGCUUGACACUCCUUAACCUCUCUUCCAGCAAUUUCAUGGGGUCAAUUCCUGCAUCAAUAGGUAAUAUCACCCAACUUUCUUAUUUGGAUCUUUCAUAUAAUAAUUUUAAUGGUCACAUACCAUCUUCCUUUUCAAAUCUUGAGCAGCUUCAUUAUUUAAUUCUGAGGAGCAAUUUUUUUCGUUGGUAAAAUGUUGAAAAGUUAAAUAUUUAUUUGUUAAUUUAAAAAAAGUAAAGUUGGUGGGUUUGUAAAUUUCAAAAGAUAAAGUUAGGUUUUGAAAAGUUUGUACAUGCAAUUGGGUGAUGUUGAAAAUUGAAUAUAGCAACAAAUUACAUAUGUAAUUGUUGACAAAUAUGGAUGACUUUAAUGCAUGUAAUGCAAGAUCCAACUCAACGUUUUGACCAAUUGAACCCAAUUUGGUGCAAAAUGCUUUUCUAUCAAUUUUCAAUAUCACCGAAUUGCAUGUACAAGCUUUUCAAAACCUUUUUCAUGCUUUUAAAAUCUAACUUUGUCUUUUGAAAUUAGCAAGCCGACCAACUUUGCUUUUUAAAAAUUGGCAAGUCAUUAUUUGACUUUUCAACAAUUCUCCACCUCGACGAAGAUUUAAUAAAUGUGAGCCGAUUAUCAACAAAUUAUCUUCCAAUCUUUGCCUUUUCCGACUGCUUUCAACUUGAUGUUAAAACUACAUUUUUACAUGAUGAUUUGGAAGAGGAAAUUUACAUGACUCAGCUAGAUGGAUUCAAGGUUGCUGAAAAAGAAAAUUGGGUUUGCAAAUUGACAAAGUCGCUUUAUGGAUUGAACAAUUUUCGAGACAGUGGUAUAAACGAUUUGAUCGAUUUAUGAAAGGACAAAGGUACACAAGAAAUAAAUUUGAUCAUUGUGUGUAUUUUCGCAAGCUACAAGAAGAAUCUUUCAUUUAUUUGCUGUUGCAUGUCGAUGAUAUGGAAAUAGCAUCGAAGAGCAAAGAUGAGAUUGAGAAGUUGAAAACUCAACUCAAUCAAGAAUUUGAGAUGAAAGAUCUAGGUGAAGCUAAGAAGAUUCUUGGCAUGGAGAUAUGCAGAAAUAGAACUUGUGGCAAAGUAAGCUUGUCUCAAAAGUAAUAUUUGAAGAAGGUACUACAACAGUUUGACAUGGUAGAGCAGACAAAAUCUGUGAGUACCCCGUUGGCUUCUUAUUUCAAGCUUUCUGCACAACUUUCUCCUUCAACAGAUGCAUAACGAGAAUACAUGUUACAAGUUCCGUAUUCAAAUACACUAGGUAGCUUGAUGUAUGCAAUGGUGUGUAAAAAGCCUGACAUUUCACAUUUAGUUGGUAUAGUGAGCAUGUAUAUGCAUAAUCCUGGUAAAGGGCGUUGGCAAGCUGUGAAAUGGAUUCUACGGUGCAUUCAAAAGACCAUGGAUGUUGGUUUGUUGUUUGAGCAAGAUGAUACACUUGGUCAAAGUGUGAAUGGGUACGUCGAUUCUGAUUAUAUUGGUGAUUUGGACAAACGACGGUCAAUCACCGGAUAUGUAUUUAACUUUGCUGGAGGGCCAAUCAAUUGGAAGUCUACACUACAGUCUACAGUUGUACUGUCGACCACAGAGGCCGAGUACAUGGCAAUUACAAAGGCUGUUAAAGAAGCUAUUUGGUUACAAGGCUUGCUUGAAAAUUUGGGAUUAGUAUAGGAGCACAUUAAUGUAUAUUGCGACAGUCAAAGUGCUAUUCACUUAACAAAGAACCAAGUUUAUCAUGCAUGUACGAAGCAUAUUGAUGUACGAUUUCACUUUGUGCGGGAAAUUGUUGAUGAUGGGAAGAUUCUUCUUCAGAAAAUUAAGACUGCAGAUAAUCUCGCAGAUAUAUUGAUAAAGGUAGUGACGACGAUCAAGUUUGAGCAUUGUCUAAACUUGAUCAAUAUCCUGCAAGUUUGAAAGCAGUCGGGGAAGGUAGAGAUUGGAGGAUGAUUUGUUGAUAAUCGGCUCAGAUUUACUAAAUCUUCGCCGAAGUGGAGAAUUGUUAAAAAGUCAAAUAAUGGCUUGCCACUUUCAAAAAAGCAAAGUUGGUCGGCUUGCCAAUUUCAAAAGACAAAGUUAGGUUUUGAAAGCAUGAAAAAAGUUUUGAAAAUCUUGUACAUACAAUUUGGUGAUGUUGAAAAUUGACUAUGGCAACAAAUUACACAUGUAAUUAUUGACAAAUAUGCAUGACUUUAAUGCAUGCAAUGCAAGAUCCAGUUCAACGUUUUGACCAAUUGAACCAAACUUGGUGCAGAAUGCUCUCUAUAAAUAGAGAAGCAAUUUGCAAUUGUAAGCAUCCCAAUUUGAGAGAAGUAGAGAGCAAUUGCAAGUGAGCUCUUUGAGAGAUUUGAGAGAGAGUCAACUUAAGUGUUCUAGUGAGGUUCUAUUUGCGUGUAUUGGGGUUGUGGGUUUUGUGAGCUUUUCUCACUUUUAUAAAUUCUCAUUUGUUAGUAAAAUUAUCUUCUAGUUUUUGUCCGUGGACGUAGGCAUUACGCCGAACCACGUAAAUUAUUGUGUCCUAUUUUCUUUGCAUUUAUUUAUUACCACAUGCAUAUUUCUCCAGAAGUCGCAGUAUUAGUAAUUGCUCAACCUCGCGCUUUCGCAACAUAAAAUUCCUGAUAUUUUUACCAAUCUAACCCAACUUUCUUACUUAGAUUUCAGUAGUAACCAACUUUCUGGCUCAAUUCCGAGUUCAGUCUAUGAGCUUGAGAAUUUGAUUCUUCUCAGACUUCCUUCAAACAGAUUAAGCGGCACCACUGAACUGUACGAUUUUGCAAAGCUCAAAAAUCUUAAAUGGCUAUUUGUUUCUAAUAAUAGAUUAUCAUUGAGCACCAAAUUAAAAGUCAACUCUUCCUUUCCCAAUCUUUUUGGGUUGGGUUUAUCUGCUUGCAAUAUAAGUGAAUUUCCGGACAUCUUGAGAACCCUGCAUCAAUUGCAGUGGUUUAACCUUUCUAAAAACCGAAUUCAUGGUAGGAUUUCUAGUUGGAUGUGGGACUUAGGAAUAACUGCUUUGUAUUACCUAGAUCUUUCCAACAACUUCCUGACAAACAUUGAAUAUUUUCCACCAACAAAUAUGACCCAACUUAACUUUGAUUCGAACCUAACACACAAGGUCUUGGAUAUGAGAAUGAACAACUUCAAUGGAAAAAUCUCUCAAAAGUUUGUAAACAGUUGUAAUUUGACAAAUCUUAAC
rnacentral:lncRNA from 1 species